GACGGAGGAUGCAAGUGUUAUCCGGAACCACUGGGCGUAAAGCGUCUGUAGGUGGUUUAAUAAGUCAACUGUUAAAUCUUGAGGCUCAACUUCAAAAUCGCAGUCGAAACUAUUAGACUAGAGUAUAGUAGGGGUAAAGGGAAUUUCCAGUGGAGCGGUGAAAUGCGUAGAGAUUGGAAAGAACACCAAUGGCGAAAGCACUUUACUGGGCUAUCACUGACACUGAGAGACGAAAGCUAGGGUAGCAAAUGGG
rnacentral:rRNA from 1 species